AGAACGUGGUCUGGAACGAGAUGGUGAGAGACCUCUUACGACUUCGUCUUUGAGUGAUGAGAAAAACCCUUGUUUCUUCUCCAUGGGCUCUGAGACGCUGGAGAACGAGAAGAAGAGAAGUCACAGCGGAGAAGAAGAGAGAGAGAGAGUUUUGACGAUACUUUUAAAGGACCCGAGUGAGCGAGUGAAGAAGCUCUCAGCUCGAAGAGAGAGAGAAAGGAUUGUUUUAGUAAAUGACUAUAUUACCCUCGUUAGUGCUAUUUUACAGAUAGUAUAAAAUAAUAACGCGGCUACGUAUUGUACAUGUAAAAGUUGUUGUCAUUGUCAAAUUGUUUCAAUGCUUGUUCGUAAUCGUGUUUAAACUCUUGACAAUGCGAUAAAUUUUGAUUA